rnacentral:rRNA from 1 species
CUGGCUCAGGAUGAACGCUGCGGCGUGCUUAACACAUGCAAGUCGAACGGAGUUUUAACGGAAGUUUCGGAUGGAAGUUAGAACUUAGUGGCGGACGGGUGAGUAACGCGUGGGUAACCUGCCUCAGUACAGGGGGAUAACAGUUAGAAAUGACUGCUAACACCGCAUAAUAUAGCGAAACCGCAUGAUUUUGCUAUCAAAAUAUUUAUAGGUAUGAGAUGGGCCCGCGUCUGAUUAGCUAGUUGGUGGGGUAAAGGCCUACCAAGGCGACGAUCAGUAGCCGGCUUGAGAGAGUGACCGGCCACAUUGGGACUGAGACACGGCCCAAACUCCUACGGGAGGCAGCAGUGGGGAAUAUUGGACAAUGGGGGAAACCCUGAUCCAGCGAACGCCGCGUGAGUGAAGAAGUAUUUCGGUAUGUAAAGCUCUAUCAGCAGGGAAGAUAAUGACAGUACCUGACUAAGAAGCCCCGGCUAACUACGUGCCAGCAGCCGC